GACGGAAGGUGCAAGCGUUGCUCGGAAUACUGGCGUAAAGGCGUGCGCAGGCGGUGAUGUAGAACAGAUGUGAAAUCCCCGGGCUCAACCUGGGAACUGCAUUUGUGACUGCAUCGCUGGAGUGCGGCAGAGGGGGAUGGAAUUCCGCGUGUAGCAGUGAAAUGCGUAGAUAUGCGGAGGAACACCGAUGGCGAAGGCAAUCCCCUGGGCCUGCACUGACGCUCAUGCACGAAAGCGUGGGGAGCAAACAGG
rnacentral:rRNA from 1 species